UACGAAGGGGGGCUAGCGUUGUUCGGAAUUACUGGGCGUAAAGCGCACGUAGGCGGAUCGAUCAGUCAGGGGUGAAAUCCCAGGGCUCAACCCUGGAACUGCCUUUUGAUACUGUCGAUCUGGAGUAUGGAAGAGGUGAGUGGAAUUCCGAGUGUAGAGGUGAAAUUCGUAGAUAUUCGGAGGAACACCAGUGGCGAAGGCGGCUCACUGGUCCAUUACUGACGCUGAGGUGCGAAAGCGUGGGGAGCAAACAGG
rnacentral:rRNA from 1 species